UACGGAGGGAGCUAGCGUUGUUCGGAAUUACGUGGGCGUAAAGCGCGUCGUAGGCGGCUUUGUAAAUGUUAGAGGUGAAAGCCUGGAGCUCAACUUCAGAAUUGCCUUUAAGACUGCAUCGCUAGAAUCCAGGAGAGGUGAGUGGAAUUCCGAGUGUAGAGGUGAAAUUCGUAGAUAUUCGGAAGAACACCAGUGGCGAAGGCGGCUCUCUGGACUGUAACUGACGCUGAGGCGCGAAAGCGUGGGAGCAACAGG
rnacentral:rRNA from 1 species